GCUGGUUUUGCGGGCAGCGUAACCAGAAGCAGAAUGAAGUGAUCGGUCCUCAGCAAAAGGCUCCCAUCAGAGCUCAGGCCGGACCCUGCCGCGGGGACAUCCACGGGGUCAGCGUCUCGUGAUGGGCAGACGUCAGGUAGCUGCUCGGGUAAGAAGAGUGACCUCUUCGGGUGGCUGUAACUGAAGAUUGCUUCACGGGAGCAACUGAGGAAGGCUGUUGGCCUCCUGGCGGGCGAAGCGGAGCUCGUGGUGCGCGUUGGCCGUGCCGGGUUCGGGGAGAGCCGCGGGGUUCGCCCGCGGGAGCACCCGGCUGGUCCAGGCCCUCGGCCGCACGCGAGAACUUCACGGGGCCAAAUUCUGCAUCCUCCUCUUGCCCAGGCCCGUACGCGCGGCGUCUU
rnacentral:lncRNA from 1 species